CGAGACUGCUAGCCUGAUCUGAGAUAAGCAGGGUGAGCAGGACGGGGGCGCAGUGCUGAGCCUGCAGGCGGCACUGAAGGGCCCAAAAAACCACUUUCUUUUCUCUCUCCAAUUCAGGCCACACCCUCCAGCCCCUGACCCGAGGUGUCUAGCCACCAGGUCCGCACUUUCCUGCCUUCUCCUUGGGGACACCGCCCUGAAGACAGGAUGUCACUGCUGGAAGCAUUCGCCUUCUCGUCCUUCUGGGCACUUACACUUGGAUUAUCGAAAGUGGAGCAGUUCCAGCUAUCCAUUUCCACGGAAGUUAAGAAAAGUAUUGACAUAUCUUGCAAGAUACGGAGCACAAACUUUGAAAACGAUGUCAUUCACUGGUACUGGCAGAAACCGAAUCAGGCUUUGGAGCAUCUGAUCUAUAUUGUCUCAACAAAAUCCGCAGUUCAUGGCAGCAUGGGUAAGAGGAGCAACAAAGUGGAAGCAAGAAAGAAUUCUCGAACUCUCACUUCAGUCCUUACCAUCAAGUCCGUAGAGAAAGAAGACAUGGCCAUUUACUACUGUGCAGGAUGGGAUUACACUGUACUAGAACUGUAGAGACAAUAUGCACAAAAUCCCCUCCCAGGGUCUGUGCCCACCACAUCCUUCCCAACAGGCGCAACCACAGCCAGUCCCCAGCUGGGCUCCCAGACUCAGGCUCGCAUUCUCUGAGGCUCUUCCAGGGCUUUCCAGGAAGCUGUUAUGGGUUGUGCUUAUACUUUCAUUCCCACCUGAUCCCAGGACUUGUGCUCCAGAAUCUUUAUUUGACACUGUUUCUUCAUGAGUUAAAGACUUGUGUGGGGACUGAGAGAACAUAGGUCAGGCCACUGUCCAUCAUAUCACCACCUAGAGACUUCCAGUAAGUAGCAAGGAGCAGUUGAGAGAGGGAUCCUUAUUAUGUACAGUCA